rnacentral:rRNA from 1 species
UUAGUGGCGGACGGGUGAGUAACGCGUGAGUAACCUGCCUCUAAGAGGGGAAUAACAUUCUGAAAAGAAUGCUAAUACCGCAUAACAUAUAUUUAUCGCAUGGUAGAUAUAUCAAAGAUUUAUCGCUUAGAGAUGGACUCGCGUCCGAUUAGUUAGUUGGUGAGGUAACGGCUCACCAAGACUGCGAUCGGUAGCCGGACUGAGAGGUUGAACGGCCACAUUGGGACUGAGACACGGCCCAGACUCCUACGGGAGGCAGCAGUGGGGGAUAUUGCGCAAUGGGGGAAACCCUGACGCAGCAACGCCGCGUGAAGGAUGAAGGUCUUCGGAUUGUAAACUUCUUUUAUUAAGGACGAAGAAAGUGACGGUACUUAAUGAAUAAGCUCCGGCUAACUACGUGCCAGCAGCCGCGGUAAUACGUAGGGAGCAAGCGUUGUCCGGAUUUACUGGGUGUAAAGGGUGCGUAGGCGGCUUUGCAAGUCAGAUGCGAAAUCUAUGGGCUCAACCCAUAGCCUGCAUUUGAAACUGCAGAGCUUGAGUGAAGUAGAGGCAGGCGGAAUUCCCCGUGUAGCGGUGAAAUGCGUAGAGAUGGG